CGGCCAAGUACUAAAAGUGUUCCAUGCUACAAAAGACUAUUUCAUUGUACGGUUUUAUCCGAGAAGAAAUGGAAACCUUACCGUUUAAACGAUAAUGGAUUAGUGAAAUGAUAAAUAGUAACAAUUUUAAUAUAUUUUAUACACAAUAGGCUUUUAGAUUUAAUAUUAAAUUUGCUUUAUAUUAAAUAAUAAACGUUAUAAUAAAUCUUAAAUUUCACUUUAAUAGUCAUUUCAGUGGUUGAUAGGUUGUGAAUAAUAUCAGAGAGGAAGUUCCUCUUUGAUAGUAUUUCUGACGUAAUGUAUUUUUUUGCAUGUGUAUUUAUUUACAGAAACGAUAAAAACAGAAGAGAAAAUUAUGGCAGACAAGAUUUGACGUCAUGACUAAUUUAUUAACCAAAAUUUGUAUCUUUUACUUUGAAAAUUUAUUUGAAAAAUUUUUAUUUUACACGCUUAACAUUAAAGGUAAUGACAUAUAAUAGCACAAGAAAAAGAAAGAAAAUGAGAAAGAUCAAUGUGCUAGUGUGCUAUGGUGUAUUGGUCCGUGUCUAGUUAUAUUAUUCGUUAAAAGAGUAAGCCUUAGGCCUUAGGUCACCGCCGUCAAAGUUGUCUUUCGUCUCUACCAUCGUCUUAACAAAUACGUCGUCUUCAUUUGUUGGGCUAUAUCUCGUUUACGGUGAAAUUAAAUAGGUUUUUGUAUAUGCUAACGUGGAACACUAGGACUUGGCUUUAGGACUUGGCAGUAUGGCGCAGCAUUUGUACUGUGGAAUAACUAGAACAAUAGGUGUGAGCUCUCUCAUUGCCUCUCUGACAUAAUACAAAAAUAUGUACUUGUUAUUUUUUUCACAAGCUCACAACUCACACACAAGGUACAUGUGACCUACACCACUGUCAAAAUGAACGUAGAUAAAUCAGAACUUCCAUGAAUAAAUAUGGAAGUGACUUCCUCAUAUCGUUAGUCAUUUCUCAGCUAUUUAGCAAAAAUUUCUUAGUUAUAUAAAAAUAUAAAUCGAUACAACAUAAAACAAAUGAAAAUCUCGACUUUUUUCUCAAUACAACAUUUUCAUAAUCACCGAUACAUAUAAUAAAUGAGUUUGUAUUUCUUCUGUUAUAAAAUUUUCGGUACCGCUUUAAUAACGACAAAAUAUUAUAAAUGCAUCACAAAGUAAUUUUUUCUUUUUAUGAAAUAUUAUAUAAUACGAUUACGACGAUAGAUUAUGUUAAAACAUAUAGAACUUCACUCUAGUAAAUGCAACAAUUACACGGUUUUCAAUAAGAUAAUUAUAGUACAUGAAUUAUGAUAUCAAUACAUUUUUAAAUUAUAAGUUUGGAAAAUAUCAAACAGGAAAAUUUUUUAUAACAAAUUGUAACACAUCAUACAUUGAGUUAUGUCUGCUUUAUUUUUUCAUUGUACAUUGAUAGUAUUUAUACUAAUUAAAUUAGUAUAAUCUCUGAGGUGGUCCCAUAGAAGAUUUAAUGUGAAGAGAACGUACAUUUUGCCAGUGUUUUUUCAACAAUGAAACUAAAAAGUUAAUUGAAAGAUGUACAUUUUGUACCAAUUCAUCUGGAGUCAUUCCUACGUGACCUACAGCCACUGAUAAACAUAAUACCUGAAAAAGUUUUUCAAAUUACGUUUGAAUAUUAUAAAUUACAAUUUUAACAAGAAUUUGUAAGUAAAAUAUUUUUUAAAACAACGAAUAUGCAACAAAAUUUACCUUCUUCAUUUGGAAUUUAAUUGUAGCUUUCACCUCAUCAAUUUUCCCUACCAUUGACUCCUGAUGAGAUAAAAGACCAGGGAAUUUGCCAGCUUUGUUCAGACCAGGACCAAGAAUACGUGGAAUUUGUUUAAUUAAAGAUUCACUAGCUAAGAAGGCAUCAUACUUUUUAGCUGUAAAAAGCGAGUGCAAGUUAAUUUUUAAAUUAAAUUAUACAAAAGUUGAUUGAAAAGAUGUCUCGACACGGAUUGAGGUGCGAAGGAAUAAAACACAACGUCCUCACCAAGUGAAGAAUUUCAUUUUCUUCCAGUAGACGACCACUACUACAAAUUACAAACUAGCAAUGGUGCUUUUUGGAAGGCACAAAGAAAAGAAUUAAAUAGACAAAAUAAAAAAUUUCAAAUUACCUAGUUUCUUCACAA